rnacentral:rRNA from 1 species
ACAGGCCUAACACAUGCAAGUCGAGCGGCAGCACAAGGGAGUUUACUCCUGAGGUGGCGAGCGGCGGACGGGUGAGUAAUGCCUAGGGAUCUGCCCAGUCGAGGGGGAUAACAGUUGGAAACGACUGCUAAUACCGCAUACGCCCUACGGGGGAAAGAGGGGGACCUUCGGGCCUCUCGCGAUUGGAUGAACCUAGGUGGGAUUAGCUAGUUGGUGAGGUAAUGGCUCACCAAGGCGACGAUCCCUAGCUGUUCUGAGAGGAUGAUCAGCCACACUGGGACUGAGACACGGCCCAGACUCCUACGGGAGGCAGCAGUGGGGAAUAUUGCACAAUGGGGGAAACCCUGAUGCAGCCAUGCCGCGUGUGUGAAGAANGCCU